GUAAGUAGCCUCAAGAUGGUUCAGUCUGCAGGACUUACUAUCCUCUCAUUAUCCAUCCACCUAGGCUAGCAGGCGCCACAUGCACACACUGAAAGUUUACCAAGACUAGCAGUUUUCAUGCACUAGGGCUGUUUUAUAUCCUCUGCUUCAGAAACUCAGCAACAGGAUUAGGAAGAAAACCUACACUCAGCGAAAACACAA